UUGCCUUAAACUAAUGAGUAAGGAAAACAAUGUACCCGGUCGAUGCCGGGUGCCGCGCACAGUCUGCGCUUAGAUUUUUGGAGGGAGAUAGGCUGGUCUGGCGUUGACGCUGCCUACAUUGCAGAACUCGCCUGUGCUGGCCUCCUCU
rnacentral:snRNA from 1 species